AUUGAACGCUGGCGGCAGGCCUAACACAUGCAAGUCGAGCGGAUGAAGGGAGCUUGCUCCUGGAUUCAGCGGCGGACGGGUGAGUAAUGCCUAGGAAUCUGCCUGGUAGUGGGGGAUAACGUCCGGAAACGGGCGCUAAUACCGCAUACGUCCUGAGGGAGAAAGUGGGGGAUCUUCGGACCUCACGCUAUCAGAUGAGCCUAGGUCGGAUUAGCUAGUUGGUGGGGUAAAGGCCUACCAAGGCGACGAUCCGUAACUGGUCUGAGAGGAUGAUCAGUCACACUGGAACUGGGACACGGUCCAGACUCCUACGGGAGGCAGCAGUGGGGAAUAUUGGACAAUGGGCGAAAGCCUGAUCCAGCCAUGCCGCGUGUGUGAAGAAGGUCUUCGGAUCGUAAAGCACUUUAAGUUGGGAGGAAGGGCAGUAAGUUAAUACCUUGCUGUUUUGACGUUACCAACAGAAUAAGCACCGGCUAACUUCGUG
rnacentral:rRNA from 1 species